ACAGAUCAAAAGCAUGAACAUGGAGAGACAUCUACUACUGAUUGUCAUAACAGUAUCAGGUGUAUUACCUGACAGCAUUGGACCGAAAGACAAGGAAGCAAUAAUCAGUAAAGAAGGAGAGUCUGUGACACUGAACUGCACAUACAGUACAACCAGCAAUGAGAUCUUGCUUUACUGGUUCAGACAGAAUCGAAACACAGAACCGCAGUAUUUAUUGUAUAAAGGUGCUCGAUCAUGGAGCCGUGAGGAGAACAUACCAGACCGUCAACGGUUUCAGUCGACUACAUCCCAAACAUCCACUGAACUCACUAUUAGAAGUGUAACUCUGUCAGAUUCAGCUCUCUAUUACUGUGCUCUAAGAGUAGCAGCCCAGUGA